CGCUGGCGGCGUGCCUAACACAUGCAAGUCGAACGGAGUUCUUAAGGAAUGCGACUUCGGUCAAAUGACUUUUGAACUUAGUGGCGGACGGGUGAGUAACGCGUGAGCAACCUGCCUUUCAGAGGGGGAUAACAUUUGGAAACAGAUGCUAAUACCGCAUAAGAUUACAGUACCGCAUGAUACAGUGAUCAAAGGAGCAAUCCGCUGAAAGAUGGGCUCGCGUCCGAUUAGAUAGUUGGUGAGGUAACGGCUCACCAAGUCGACGAUCGGUAGCCGGACUGAGAGGUUGAACGGCCACAUUGGGACUGAGACACGGCCCAGACUCCUACGGGAGGCAGCAGUGGGGAAUAUUGCACAAUGGGCGAAAGCCUGAUGCAGCAACGCCGCGUGAGGGAAGACGGUUUUCGGAUUGUAAACCUCUGUUUUCGGUGACGAACAAAUGACGGUAACCGAGUAGGAAGCCACGGCUAACUACGUGCCAGCAGCCGCGGUAAUACGUAGGUGGCAAGCGUUAUCCGGAAUUACUGGGUGUAAAGGGAGCGCAGGCGGGAUAGCAAGUCAGCUGUGAAAACUAUGGGCUCAACCCAUAAACUGCAGUUGAAACUGUUAUUCUUGAGUGGAGUAGAGGCAAGCGGAAUUCCGAGUGUAGCGGUGAAAUGCGUAGAUAUUCGGAGGAACACCAGUGGCGAAGGCGGCUUGCUGGGCUCUAACUGACGCUGAGGCUCGAAAGUGUGGGGAGCAAACAGGAUUAGAUACCCUGGUAGUCCACACUGUAAACGAUGAUUGCUAGGUGUGGGGGGUCUGACCCC
rnacentral:rRNA from 1 species